rnacentral:rRNA from 1 species
UUUUAAAACUAAAACGCACUAGUGUAAACGGGGCCAAAGUAACCGGCUGAAGCUAAGCAGGGCUGCGCCCGUUAAGUAACUGAAUGGGAGACCACAUGGGAAAUGAGUGGUGUUAGUGA